rnacentral:rRNA from 1 species
UACGUAGGGUGCAAGCGUUAAUCGGAAUUACUGGGCGUAAAGCGUGCGCAGGCGGUUGUGAAAGACAGAUGUGAAAUCCCCGGGCUUAACCUGGGAAUUGCAUUUGUGACUGCACGGCUAGAGUGUGUCAGAGGGAGGUAGAAUUCCACGUGUAGCAGUGAAAUGCGUAGAUAUGUGGAGGAAUACCGAUGGCGAAGGCAGCCCCCUGGGAUAACACUGACGCUCAUGGCACGAAAGCGUGGGGAGCAAACAGG